rnacentral:rRNA from 1 species
UACCAGCUCCUCGAGUGGUUGGGACGAUUAUUGGGUCUAAAGCGUCCGUAGCCGGCUGGAAAAGUUCUCCGUAAAAUCCAACGAUCCAAUCGUUGGAUCGCGGGGAAUACUCUCCGGCUUGGGGGCGGGGGAGGUCGGCGGUAGUCCCGGGGUAGGGGCGAAAACAUUUUUUUCGGAUCGUCCGGAAAAUUUUCGCAGUCUUAUAAUCCCGGGAGGACCACCAGUGGCGAAGGCGGCCGACUAAA